rnacentral:rRNA from 1 species
UACAGAGGUCUCAAGCGUUGUUCGGAUUCAUUGGGCGUAAAGGGUGCGUAGGUGGCGCCGUAAGUCAGGUGUGAAAUUUCGGAGCUUAACUCCGAAACUGCAUUUGAUACUGCGGUGCUUGAGGACUGGAGAGGAGACUGGGAAUUUACGGUGUAGCAGUGAAAUGCGUAGAGAUCGUAAGGAAGACCAGUGGCGAAGGCGGGUCUCUGGACAGUUCCU